rnacentral:tRNA from 1 species
AAAGAUGUAGCUCAGUGGUAGAGUUCUUGCCUAGUAAGCAAGCAUGAGAGGCCUGCGUUCAAUCCUCAGUAUCAUAA